rnacentral:rRNA from 1 species
UACGUAGGGGGCAAGCGUUAUCCGGAAUUACUGGGCGUAAAGCGCACGUAGGCGGCUUUGUAAGUUAGAGGUGAAAGCCCAGGGCUUAACCCUGGAAUUGCCUUUAAGACUGCAUCGCUAGAAUCGUGGAGAGGUGAGUGGAAUUCCGAGUGUAGAGGUGAAAUUCGUAGAUAUUCGGAAGAACACCAGUGGCGAAGGCGACUCACUGGACACGUAUUGACGCUGAGGUGCGAAAGCGUGGGGAGCAAACAGG